rnacentral:rRNA from 1 species
UACAGAGGGUGCGAGCGUUGUCCGGAAUCACUGGGCGUAAAGGGCGCGUAGGCGGCCUUCUAAGUCAGACGUGAAAUCCCCCGGCUUAACCUGGGAACUGCGUCUGAUACUGGGAGGCUUGAGUAUGGGAGAGGGAUGUAGAAUUCCAGGUGUAGCGGUGAAAUGCGUAGAUAUCUGGAGGAAUACCGGUGGCGAAGGCGGCAUCCUGGACCAUUACUGACGCUGAGGCGCGAAAGCUAGGGGAGCAAACGGG